rnacentral:rRNA from 1 species
UAGCGACAGGCUUAACACAUGCAAGUCGAGGGGCAGCACAGGUAGCAAUACCGGGUGGCGACCGGCGCACGGGUGAGUAACGCGUAUGCAACUUGCCUAUCAGAGGGGGAUAACCCGGCGAAAGUCGGACUAAUACCGCAUGAAGCAGGGAUCCCGCAUGGGAAUAUUUGCUAAAGAUUCAUCGCUGAUAGAUAGGCAUGCGUUCCAUUAGGCAGUUGGCGGGGUAACGGCCCACCAAACCGACGAUGGAUAGGGGUUCUGAGAGGAAGGUCCCCCACAUUGGUACUGAGACACGGACCAAACUCCUACGGGAGGCAGCAGUGAGGAAUAUUGGUCAAUGGCCGAGAGGCUGAACCAGCCAAGUCGCGUGAGGGAUGAAGGUUCUAUGGAUCGUAAACCUCUUUUAUAAGGGAAUAAAGUGCGGGACGUGUCCCGUUUUGUAUGUACCUUAUGAAUAAGGAUCGGCUAACUCCGUGCCAGCAGCCGCGGUAAUACGGAGGAUCCGAGCGUUAUCCGGAUUUAUUGGGUUUAAAGGGUGCGUAGGCGGCCUUUUAAGUCAGCGGUGAAAGUCUGUGGCUCAACCAUAGAAUUGCCGUUGAAACUGGGGGGCUUGAGUAUGUUUGAGGCAGGCGGAAUGCGUGGUGUAGCGGUGAAAUGCAUAGAUAUCACGCAGAACCCCGAUUGCGAAGGCAGCCUGCCAAGCCAUUACUGACGCUGAUGCACGAAAGCGUGGGGAUCAAACAGGAUUAGAUACCCUGGUAGUCCACGCAGUAAACGAUGAUCACUAGCUGUUUGCGAUACACUGUAAGCGGCACAGCGAAAGCGUUAAGUGAUCCACCUGGGGAGUACGCCGGCAACGGUGAAACUCAAAGGAAUUGACGGGGGCCCGCACAAGCGGAGGAACAUGUGGUUUAAUUCGAUGAUACGCGAGGAACCUUACCCGGGUUUGAACGCAUUCGGACCGAGGUGGAAACACCUUUUCUAGCAAUAGCCGUUUGCGAGGUGCUGCAUGGUUGUCGUCAGCUCGUGCCGUGAGGUGUCGGCUUAAGUGCCAUAACGAGCGCAACCCUUGCCACUAGUUACUAACAGGUAAAGCUGAGGACUCUGGUGGGACUGCCAGCGUAAGCUGCGAGGAAGGCGGGGAUGACGUCAAAUCAGCACGGCCCUUACAUCCGGGGCGACACACGUGUUACAAUGGCGUGGACAAAGGGAGGCCACCUGGCGACAGGGAGCGAAUCCCCAAACCACGUCUCAGUUCGGAUCGGAGUCUGCAACCCGACUCCGUGAAGCUGGAUUCGCUAGUAAUCGCGCAUCAGCCAUGGCGCGGUGAAUACGUUCCCGGGCCUUGUACACACCGCCCGUCAAGCCAUGGGAGCCGGGGGUACCUGAAGUCCGUAACCGAAAGGAUCGGCCUAGGGUAAAACUGGUGACUGGGGC